rnacentral:pre_miRNA from 1 species
AAACCGCCCCUUAAGUUUUGCAACUGUAGCAGUUUUGGCCCCCCAAGGCCAAUUAUUGGAAAGAAAAAAAAAACAUGGCACCUCACUUAAGGUGCCACGUCAGCGUAGAUCGAGUCAAAAUUGGCCCCUCGGGGCCCAAAACUGCACAGAUGCAAAACUUAUAGGGUAGUUU